rnacentral:tRNA from 1 species
UGUAUGUAGGUGUAAUUUUGCGCACAGUAGAUUUUGGUUCUGACGGAGGAGGUCAUAUCUCCACAUGCAU